CAUUUUCUAAUCAUUGGUCUAUUGCCCUAACACUUUACACGUUCCCUAACAUAUCCCCUCCCUUAAUUUUGUUUCCUUUUCCCAAACUAAUCAAUUGACCCGCAACCGAAACGUUCAAUAAUGUAAAUUAUGUUUCCUUUUCCGAAACUAAUCAAUUUUGUUUCCUUGCCAGUUCUCUCUCCCUCACGCCUCCUCUCUUCUCUCUCUCUCUCUCUCAAAUCCCCUCCUUCACUCACUCAAUCGUCUCUGUCCCCCACACCCACCACCACCGACCUACUCACUGACCCACAACCGUCGCGCCACCACCACCAACAGACUCAUCUCUUUCUUCCCCUGCCUACUUCGACCCAUACCUACUUCGACGAAUAAGGAUCAAGUUAGGCUAUUGACUACCUUUCAUGAUUACUAACUAUUUGAUAAAAGGCCACAAUGAACAUUGAAGGUAUUACAAACUGUGUUGUGCCCAAUCACGCACGAAACAUGCAUAGGUACUCUACAAAGGUAAGUCCGAGCAGUUAUCAGACAAUGGAAGCUUCACAAGUUUCUAUCCAAGAAAAUUUGGAGGAAGAUGGGAUGAGAAGUUAGGGGUCUGGAUUCUCCUUUCAAGGUUGAUUAUGGAUUCUCCUCUACUGCCUUUAAUCUGGUAGCGUAUUUUAACAAUUAACUUGAAACAAUAUGGUUGUCAAAUGAAAUAUCAUGUGUCAAAAUACUUCUGGUGUGGGUUUGCAUUAGCAGCCUUUUUCAAAUAUGGCAUGAUUCUGGGGGCUAAAAAUUGGAUGUUUCAUCUAUAUCAAUGAGUUUAGUUUGAAUCUUUUAGAUGAUUUAGCUCUCAUUGGAAAUUGCAAACAAUGACUUAGGUUCUCUUUUCUUUUCUUUUUCUUUUCUUAUUUUUGUAGAGUUGUAUGAGUGGUACUAAACUAACGCUGCUUCUAAUAUGCCAUUUCUUGGCAUCAGAAAUUGUUCCUUGUUCACAAUAUAAAAUUGGUUUGGAGUUUCAUGAGCCAUAUUUCAGUUUCACGAAACAAAUUUUUAUGAAGCAUAUUAUAGUUUUAGCUUAUCUUGUUUUCUUUGAAAAGGUAACUCGAGUGUUCAAGAAAAAAGAAGGUAAAAUCCCUCUUCACAAGCAAAGAGUGCAACAUGCCUUCCCUUUAACCACAAAAGUGCCAAGUGUCUGAAUCAUGGGUUACAAAACACAGAGCAAGCUAUGCCCGGAAAAAAAAAAAAAAAAAAACUGUGUAUGUGGUGUUCACGAUGUAAUUAAUGUUAUGGUGGAGUUUCUAUUGAUUCAAUGUCUACCAUCGAGGUAGCAAGGCUCUAGAUGAUGAUUGUCCUGCAUUCAUUACUUCUCUUCAUUCGGGAAGUUCUCAGCUAUUUUUUUCGGCUCCAAGUUCUUUCCAAUUGUAGUGUUUAUUUUUUAAGUGCUCUUUCUUUGUUUC